UCUCCUGGAAACGGGUGGUAAUGCCGGAUGUUCCAGUUGAUCGCAUGGUCUUCUGGGAAAGCUUUCGCGGUAUGGGAUGGGGUCGCGUCCUAUCAGCUUGACGGCGGGGUAACGGCCCACCGUGGCUUCGACGGGUAGCCGGCCUGAGAGGGCGACCGGCCACAUUGGGACUGAGAUACGGCCCAGACUCCUACGGGAGGCAGCAGUGGGGAAUAUUGCACAAUGGGCGCAAGCCUGAUGCAGCGACGCCGCGUGAGGGAUGGAGGCCUUCGGGUUGUAAACCUCUUUUAUCGGGGAGCAAGCGUGAGUGAGUUUACCCGUUGAAUAAGCACCGGCUAACUACGUGCCAGCAGCCGCGGUAAUACGUAGGGUGCAAGCGUUAUCCGGAAUUAUUGGGCGUAAAGGGCUCGUAGGCGGUUCGUCGCGUCCGGUGUGAAAGUCCAUCGCUUAACGGUGGAUCCGCGCCGGGUACGGGCGGGCUUGAGUGCGGUAGGGGAGACUGGAAUUCCCGGUGUAACGGUGGAAUGUGUAGAUAUC
rnacentral:rRNA from 1 species